AUGUUCUCAUCCCAGUCCGCCAGCUGCAUCAACAACAUACGAACGUCCCUCAUCAACGCGCAGAAGGGGAACCUCUCCGUUGCCUCCUACUUCGCCGCCAUGCGCGGCUACGCCGACGAGCUAGCCGCCACAGGCAAGGCGAUCCCCGACGAUGAACUCGCCUCCUACAUCAUCCAUGGGCUCGACGCCGACUAUCAGCCUCUGGUGUCUGCCCUCGACGCUCGCGUGACCGGGGUAACCCUUGAUGAACUCUUUGCCAUGUUAUCCAAUUUCGAUCAGCGCAUGGCUCACUUCCAAGGGGCCGGUGGC
rnacentral:rRNA from 1 species